rnacentral:lncRNA from 1 species
GACCUAGAUUACUUGUGGAUAUCCCCUGACUAGCUGGAUCGUUUGGUAGGCCGCGUAGGUGACAGUUACGUUGGUCCCUUGUAGUCCACCUCUCGUUAGCAGGACGGGUAGGGUUUAUCGGCCUAUGGAUAAGCAUCCUUUGUGGUGUACUCUUAUCACGUGGUUCGUCCCAGACAUAGACAUACCCCUUUGAAGUAGAGAAACCAUAGUUAUCCUCUCUAUUCUGCUACCAUCGCCCAUAUACUAGAAUUGCUCUACUCUCUAUUCCCAUAUUAUCACUCACUGUUAUCUUACCUUUAAUAUUGUUCUUAUUCGAUUCUACCAUCUUUCCUAUUCACACCUAUUUACUUAUCUUGGUUAAGUUAGAGCGUAGAUCAGUUCUCCCGUUUCCCUGUGGAUACGAUAAAACCUUUAACCGGGUAAAAGCUUUAACGGUAUCGGUGCGCUUGCGGAUUAUCUGUGUGCGUAUAAAUACCAUAGUACACUCUAGUGCCACGCUGGGGAUGACAACCUAGUAUUCAAGUGGUGUUAGCAAGUGUCAACAAGCAUUUUUGGCGCCGUUGCCGGGGAAACGGUUGCUGAGUUGACUACGAACUAGUUUAAUCAUUUUAUAAAUAUAUAUAUAUAAAUAAAAAAAAUAAAAAUAUAUUUUCCUUUUAUCCUUUGCCUCAUCUCUGCUAUUCUUUCUUCUUAUCUAAUCCUUGAUCUCUGGUCUAUUAUGAAUUCAAACAUGUCUAUCUAUGAAUUUCAUAGACCUAUGGGCACACAUCUCGAACCACCAAAAUCUUCAAAGCCUAUCAUAGCAUCUAGUUUUGAGAUAGACCCCGAAUACAUAGAAUUUAUUCAAAAACAACCUUUCUCAGGAGA